rnacentral:rRNA from 1 species
GAUGAACGCUAGCUACAGGCUUAACACAUGCAAGUCGAGGGGCAGCGCAGUGUAGCAAUACAUGGGCGGCGACCGGCGCACGGGUGCGUAACGCGUAUCCAACCUUCCCGUUACUCAGGGAUAGCCUUCCGAAAGGGAGAUUAAUACCUGAUGGUGUUCAAAUUCCGCAUGUUAUUUGAACUAAAGAUUUAUCGGUAACGGAUGGGGAUGCGUGACAUUAGGUAGAUGGCGGGGUAACGGCCCACCAUGCCUACGAUGUCUAGGGGUUCUGAGAGGAAGGUCCCCACACUGGAACUGAGACACGGUCCAGACUCCUACGGGAGGCAGCAGUGAGGAGUAUUGGUCAAUGGCCGGAAGGCUGAACCAGCCAAGUAGCGUGAAGGAUGAAGGUUCUAUGGAUUGUAAACUUCUUUUAUACGGGAAUAAAACCUCCCACGUGUGGGAGCUUGUAUGUACCGUAUGAAUAAGCAUCGGCUAACUCCGUGCCAGCCGCCGCUGUAAAAC